UCACACUAUCAAGCUUGGCUUGUUGUUGGGCCCUUUGUCACCUGGUGACAGGUCCAAAAGACAAUAACCGGUGUCAUACAGACUCUAUAUGCAACGAGCUUAUCACAGCACGCAUCUGGUAGUCGUGUGGCCCGGUUUUCACUUUGAUAUUUAUCAAAGCGUAUUUCUCAA
rnacentral:misc_RNA from 1 species